rnacentral:rRNA from 1 species
GACGAACGCUUGCGGCGUGCCUAAGAAAUGCAAGUCGAGCGGAGCUGAAGGAUGAAUUAUGAAGGAUGAGGGAUGAUCAUCCUUCCGCCUUCAUCAUUCAUUCUUCAGCUUAGCGGCGAACGGUCGCGUAACACGUAAGCAACCUGCCUCAAAGACCGGGACAACAUCUCGAAAGGGGUGCUAAUACCGGAUGUGGCCGAAGGGGGACAUCCUUCUUCGAUUAAANCCAGCAAUGGGCUUUGAGAGGGGCUUGCGUCCUAUCAGCUAGUUGGUGGGGUAACGGCCUACCAAGGCGACGACGGGUAGCUGGUCUGAGAGGACGAUCAGCCGGAC